rnacentral:hammerhead_ribozyme from 1 species
GUACUAAUGAAGAGUCCCAGAACAGGACGAAACAACUACCCAGUAC